rnacentral:rRNA from 1 species
CCUACGGGAGGCAGCAGUGGGGAAUUUUGCGCAAUGGGGGAAACCCUGACGCAGCAACGCCGCGUGAGUGAUGAAGGCCUUCGGGUCGUAAAGCUCUGUCUAGAGGAAAGAAAUGUUUGGAGGCUAAUACCCUUUGAACUUGACGGUACCUCUGAAGGAAGCACCGGCUAACUCCGUGCCAGCAGCCGCGGUAAU